rnacentral:rRNA from 1 species
UACGAAGGGGGCUAGCGUUGUUCGGAAUCACUGGGCGUAAAGCGCACGUAGGCGGCUUUUUAAGUCAGGGGUGAAAUCCUGGAGCUCAACUCCAGAACUGCCUUUGAUACUGGGAAGCUUGAGUCCGGAAGAGGUGAGUGGAACUCCGAGUGUAGAGGUGAAAUUCGUAGAUAUUCGCAAGAACACCAGUGGCGAAGGCGGCUCACUGGCCCGAUACUGACGCUGAGGCACGAAAGCGUGGGGAGCAAACAGG